UUCUUGUGCCGCUCCUUCCCACGCUCAAUAAGUCCUCGAUUGAUCUGGCCGAAGCGACAGAUCUAUCGUGCUCAAUGUUUGACAUCUUCUGGCCAAAGCGACAGAAGUGUCGGGAAGAGUUUAUGAUACUCCCCCCCGAGUUUGACGACUUCUGGCCGAAGCGACAGAAGUGUCAGGAAGAGCUUGUGAUACUCCCCCCCGAGUUUGACGACUUCUGGN
rnacentral:lncRNA from 1 species